ACACAUUUAGGUAUCGUACCCACCCUAGCAGCCGUCAUGUAGCUGUAGACACCAGCAUCUUACAUUCGAUUGUUUUUUUUCCUUCUCUCUCACAUUUUUUUUUAACUUUUGAUUCUUAUUCUUCAAAUUAUUUUGUUCGAUCGUAGUUUGAUUUUGGGUUUGGAUUCGGAAUGGAUCUGGUGGAGGGGACGUUGGAGAUGAUUUUGAUUGUUUUCGAUCGUGAUUUCUCUUGUGAAACGAAGGUAAAGUAGAAGAAGCACUGUCGUUGUGAAAAUCAAGUUUGAAUGAUUUAGAAGUUCGUUUGCAAGGAAGGUAAGGUGGAUUGCAAGGAAGGUAGGGUGGAUAAACAUCCAUUGAGCCUAAGAUGUAUAAUUGAUAUUAACCUUGCAUGUAGGAUCAUUAUCCGUCACUCCUUGCCUCCUAGAUAUUAUACAUAAUUAUGUGUUUAGCGGACAAUUUUGAGACAUCUGUGAUAAGAUUGCUAUUGUGUGACAUCACGUUUUAUUUGCUUUAUUUUCUGUAUUGUGAAUCUGUAUAUCCAUUUUAUAUUCGGUGUUAAUAAAAUCAUAUUUCAUAUUUGUAUUUUGCUUUAUUAUUGUCAAAAUUAUCUUUGAUAUUUGUUUGGUGUUUUGUGUUUUGUAUUUUGUAUUUAUAUUUCUGUUAUUGAUUGUAAUGAUUUUUUUUUAUCUUAAUGCAUUGUUUGCUGUCU
rnacentral:lncRNA from 1 species